GGGGGUACUGUUAUGUUCCGGGGUUCUGGCUGCAUGGUGGGAGUUCCUGUGCACCCUUAUUACCUUUUACCACCAGAUGGCGACAGGUUCCGGCUGGAGUGCGGUGCAUUAUUAUCCGCAGCUGUUCGUGAUCAUCCUCAUCAGCGGCGCAGACUUAAGGAGUUGGCCGCCAGUCCAGCGUCGCCUGAGUGUUAGCCAGUCACGGUGAUCCUUUGAUGAGAUCCCGGUUGAAUUCCUGGCUUUUGAACCAUCCUCGUGACGCCGUGGAAAGUAUCCACAGGUUGCCCGAGUUCCCAGACUUACCUCUCCGUUGUUUUGGCAAUUAUCUCCUGGACCCCACGGCUGGCGGCCGUACCACUCCUCCGUCUCCCCGCUGCUCUCGUGCCUACCUGUCCGCUGCCCACCGCACUCCUCCGUUGUUCCUGGACCCACCAAGAACCGAGACCCCGGACAUACUCGGUUUCCCCUCCAAGACUCUGUUCAUCAGCAACAAUGAACCAUUGUUGCCGUCCCUGUUUUUGCCCCUGGACCAGACCAUCCUGAUUCUCACUGAUAAUUGUGUGAUCUUUAUUAAAUCAUUUAACACUGA